AUAUUGGACAAUGGGCGCAAGCCUGAUCCAGCCACGCCGCGUGAGUGAUGAAGGCCUUCGGGUCGUAAAGCUCUGUGGGGAGGGACGAACCGCCGGCGGUUAAUACCCGUCGGCAUGACGGUACCUCCUUAGCAAGCACCGGCUAACUUCGUGCCAGCAGCCGCGGUAAUACGAAGGGUGCAAACGUUGCUCGGAAUUAUUGGGCGUAAAGCGCACGUAGGCGGCUUAGCAAGUUGGAUGUGAAAGCCCUCGGCUCAACCAAGGAAGUGCAUCCAAAACUGCUGAGCUUGAGUACUUAAGAGGAUCGCGGAAUUCCCGGUGUAGAGGUGAAAUUCGUAGAUAUCGGGAGGAACACCAGUGGCGAAGGCGGCGAUCUGGGAAGAUACUGACGCUGAGGUGCGAAAGCGUGGGGAGCAAACAGG
rnacentral:rRNA from 1 species